rnacentral:lncRNA from 10 species
GAGACAGAGUCUCGCUCUGUUCCUCAGGCUGGAGUGCAGUAGAGCUAACUUGGCUCACUACAACCUUCACCUCCAGGGUUCAAGUGAUUCUCCUGCCUCAGCCUCCCAAGUAGCUGGGAUUACAGGUGCCCACCACCAUGCCCAGCUAAUUUUUAUACUUUUAGGAGAGAUGGGGUUUCACCAUGUUGGCCAGGCUGGUCUCAAACUCCUGACCUCAAGCGAUCUGCCCACCUUGGCCUCCCAAAAUGCCAGGAUUACAGGCAUGUGCCCCUGCGCCUGGCCUAAUUUUUUGUAGAGACAAAUAAAAUGUUGCCCAGGCUGGCCUCAAGCGUUCCUCCCACCUUGGCCUCCCAAAGUGUUACGAUUAUAAGCAUAAGCCGCUGCGUCCUGUCAAAUGUAAACACUAAUUGCUAAUUACAAUGUCAAAAAUAACUGGGUCAGAAACAAGGAUGAAAGAGUAGGAAGUUCAAAGCUGGUGUAGUGCAAAUAAGCCUAGACUAGGGUGCUGAUAAAUUUGGAUGAUGUCUGGGUGACACUGAGCAAACUGCACAACCCCAGUUCCAUUCCAUCUUUAAAAUCUUACGAUUCCACAGAGGAAGAAAAAGGUGAUCUUUAUUUGGAAGAAAGGAAGAUCUUGGUUUGAUAUGUAAUAGGAAAGUAACAAUGCUAUUAGGCAAGGUUGUUUAAAUAUGAAUUAAUGCCUAUCCCAUUAUCUAGAUUGGGUUAACACCCUCUGGUGAUAUUAUAUAUCAG